rnacentral:rRNA from 1 species
AGAAUCAACGCUGGCGGCGUGCCUAACACAUGCAAGUCGAACGGGAAAGUGGAGCAAUCCAUGAGUAUAGUGGCGACCGGGUGAGUAACACGUGACUAACCUACCCUUGAGUGGGGGAUAACCUCGGGAAACCGGGCUAAUACCGCAUAACAUCUUCGGGAUGAGAAGCUGAAGAUCAAAGGAGCAAUUCGCUUUCGGAGGGGGUCGCGGCUGAUUAGCUAGUUGGCGGGUAACGGCCCACCAAGGCUUUGAUCGGUA